GGCUCCUGCACGGACAGGUGAGUGUGGGCUCAGGGUACUGGGAGCUGCUCCUCCAGCAAACCCCUGGGCUGGAGCUGCAGCGGCUCAGGGCUCACAAACAGCCACACUGAGGGGCUCAGCAGGGUCAGGGAAUCCCAGAAUGGUUUGGGUGGGAAGGGACCACAAUGCCCAUCCAGUGCCACCCCCUGCUACGGGCAGGGACACCUUCCACCAGCCCAGGUUGCUCCAAGCCCCGUCCAGCCUGGCCUGGAACGCUUCCAGGGAUGGAGCAGUCACAGCUGCUCUGGGCAACCUGUGCCAGGGCCUGCCCACCCUCCCAGGGAGGAAUUUCCUCCCAUCUGAAUCAUCCACUCCAGAACUGAAGGAGCCCUGUGCUCAAAGCAGUAACCCCCCUGACCUGUGGCUGUGCUGAGGCCCUGGGCUGGGAAUGAGUGAAAACUGAGAGAAAUAAGUGGGAGAGGAAGGAGGUAAAGGCAGAGCAGCCCCUGGGAGCACACUGGAGCCUCCAGCCCUUUGCCUUGGGGAAAACCAGCACUGGGAUGGACUCCCUGCACAGGGAACUGCCCCAGAACCCCUCACCUCUCCUCAGCCCCUGCCAGCACAGGGUGCUCCUACUGCUCAAGCUGAGGAGGGUGUGACAAGAGUCAGCUCUGAGGAGGAACAGGAGGAGGAAGAGGGGGGAGCCCAGGGCAGUGCAGACACUCCCCCCACUCACCUCGGAACUGCAGGUGGUUCAGGGCCGUGUGUGUCUCCAGGGAGAAGAAAUCCAAGGAGCCGUUCAGCCGGGCAGCCACGAUCCUGAGGGGAAAUGGGGGCUGAGGAGAGGCCCCUCCGAGCCCCCAGAGUGGGCAGAGCACGGAGCACCCACUCCCAGGAGGAACUGCACACACAGAGCUGGGAGAUCACAGAACCAACUGCCCCACAGCAGCGCCUCUGCAACGGCAGCCACGGGAACCAGGGACACAAAGGUCUCCCAGCCCUGACACCUUCUGGAUAUUCUGCUACUGGGGAGACUGAAGAAUGAAGAAGUGGCUGCUGGAGCAGAGCUGGAGCCAGGAAAGCUGGUGAGAGGUGGACACAGGGAAGGAUACAGCUGGAUAUAAGUAUUUCCCAGGUCUUAACCCUUCAAAGAGCCAACAGUGGAAUGAACUCCUGAUGAGAUCAAAUGGAUCCCAUGGAUUUAAGCAAGGAUACAACGAUCUGGUGCAGUUUGCUGUGUGCUGCAGACCAGAAGAUCUCUUCAAGAAGGUUCUUCAGCUCAGAUGUCUCCUCCUCACAUGUACCAUCCCCACCACUUACAGGGUCCAGGAAGACACCAGGCAUGUAAAGCACCCGAGAGCACAGAGAAAGGACCCUGAUUCCCAGAGGAAGAGCCCUGGAGUUUGGGAGCUCUGCCCACGCGGGACCUGCUCAGCAGCUCCUCCCGAACACACUUGGAGCGAGCCCCGAGGAACCAGGUUCUGACCCAGGAGGAUGAAGGACAGAAGACAGACCAACCCCUGGGGGUUGAUCCCCCAAUCCCAGUGCCCACAGCAUUGCAGCCCACUUGCCUCUUG